GCAUCCAGCUGUAACAAUAUCAAUACUAAAAUUGUAAAAUACUAUAGAUCUGAUUACAGAACAAAAACAAAGUAAUUAUUUGAAAUCAAUUUGGAAAAUAAAGGUAAAGAGAAUAUCUUCUUCACAGCUAGUAGCAGACAUUGGCACUUGGAUGCCAUCCAGACAUUUCUCACUUAUUGUUGAGAAUUGAAACCCCAUUCAAAGAGAAUGGGUUUUUCUUCUUUUCUUAGUUUUAUGUUUCCUGAGUUUGUCCUUGGAGCUGUGGACAAGAAGUAUAGCAGAUGUCAUCUUUAGGAGUCCAUUGAACUGAUAAAGGAAAGAUACAAAGAAAUUUGUAAAAAUUGAUCUGCACAGACAAAGGACUCAAGAAGGACGACAGGUGAGAAGAGGGACAGGUUGGACUAUACACACUUGGGGAAAUUUGCAUCUGUGUAAAAGAAGGUUUUUAUUUGUGACAGUUUGAUGAUUUAUAACUCAAUAUAUCAGGAAAUGUUAUAAGAUA